CUUGACGACCAUAGAGCAUUGGAACCACCUGAUCCCAUCCCGAACUCAGUAGUGAAACGAUGCAUCGCNACGGGCGUGACAAUUCCAUGCUUCCUCUGUUGGCUUCAAGA
rnacentral:rRNA from 1 species